CUUUACUGUAGCCUGGUAUUGGGUUCGGGCUUUGACUGCGCAGGAUAGGUGGGAGACUGAGAAGUGUGCCUUGUGGGGCACAUAGAGUCAACGGUGAGAUACCACUCUGUCAGAGCUAGAAUUCUAACCUUCACCCGUGAUCCGGGGAAGGAACCGUAUCAGGUGGGCAGUUUGACUGGGGCGGUCGCCUCCUAAAAGGUAACGGAGGCGCGCAAAGGUGUUCUCAGGCUGGUUGGAAAUCAGCCGUAGAGUGUAAAGGCAGAAGAACGCUUGACUGUGAGAGUGAAAACUCAAGCAGGGUGGAAACACGGGCUUAGUGAUCCGGCGGUAGGCGCGUGGAAGGGCCGUCGCUCAACGGAUAAAAGUUA
rnacentral:rRNA from 1 species